UGUUUGGUUUGUUACGUGUGGUUGGCUGCGGCGUUUGCAACAACUUCCAUGCUUUCAGACCUCUUCAGUUGUGCGGCAAGGCUCGUAUUGCCUUGAGCGUAUUGUGGGUUUUCUGUGUUGGCUACCUAUUCAAAGGUAUCGUUUGGAUUGAUCAAAGUGUGAUUUCGUCUUCCGUCGCGUUUGCGGCGUGAGGUGAACCCUGAUGCAGUCUCUUUGAUCCAUCUCGUUGAAGCACAUGCUUUGACGUUGUGGCACAUUGAGCAUUGCUUGGUCUCUUGUAUACGGAACACGAAGUGGGCAUGGAUCUAACGAUUCUUGUUUGCCCUCAUAUUAGCGUAACGCUUCUCUAACACGACUUGCACCACGUUUUAGCUCGUACGGAUGUGGUGCUAUGUCGCAGAGGAAUGCUACCUGGUUGAUCCUGCCAGAGUCAAGCU
rnacentral:misc_RNA from 1 species